AACGAACGCUGGCGGCGUGCCUAACACAUGCAAGUCGAGCGCGAAAGGAGCAGUCCGAGUAGAGCGGCGCACGGGUGCGUAACACGUGGAUAAUCUGCCUCAGGGUUGAGGAUAACCUUCCGAAAGGUUGGCUAAUACUCGGUAAGCUUACGGUGACUUCGGUCGCUGUGAGAAAACUAGACCUCUAUUUAUAAGUUUAGGCCCAGAGAUGAGUCCGCGGCCCAUCAGCUAGUUGGCGGGGUAACGGCCCACCAAGGCUACGACGGGUAGCUGGUCUGAGAGGACGAUCAGCCACACUGGAACUGAGACACGGUCCAGACUCCUACGGGAGGCAGCAGUGGGGAAUUUUCCACAAUGGGCGAAAGCCUGAUGGAGCAACGCCGCGUGUGUGAUGAAGGUCUUCGGAUCGUAAAGCACUUUCGACUGGGACGAAAAACCUUUGGCUAACAUCCAGGGGCCUGACGGUACCAGGAGAAGAAGCACCGGCUAACUCUGUGCCAGCAGCCGCAGUAACAC
rnacentral:rRNA from 1 species